UCGAGUGAAAUUUAAAGGACAACAAAUCGAGAUUUUACGCCCGUGUAUAAUUGACGACCCUCGACCCCUAAACCUCCUGCAAGCCGAAACGGAUCGAGGAGGAGGAGGUGGCCCUCCUGUCGAAGCUCAUCGAGGAGCAAGGGAUCGAGUUGGAGGAGAAGGUGGCCGUCCUAUCGAAGGUCAUAGAGGAGCAAGGGAUCGAGGUGGAGGAGGAGGAGGCGGCCCUCCUAUCCGACAGCGUCAUCCCCCUCCCCCUCCCCCUCGAGUACUGCCGGACCGUCAAUUCUUCUCUCUUGUCGACCUCCUCCGCCGCCGCAUCCUCCGAUUCCUUCUUCUCCUAUUCUAUCUCAUCGAAGCCCGUCUCGGAUCCCGCGCUCAGUGCCUGGGAUAAAGAGUUGGUCAAGCUCAACCCAUCCUCCCUCUACGAUCUCUUCAUCUCUUCAUGGCUGCAACCCUCGCCGACAUGAUCAGAGGGAAGGAACCGGGAGGGAUCUGCCGCCUGCUGUCAUGCAUCAAGAAUGAUUUCCCUCCGAAAGAAGAGGAAGCAGGCCGGAGGAAGAACUCCUGGAUAUUCAAACAUUGAUUCUAAUUGCUAACAUCGACUUUAUUACCUUUUGUUCUCUUGGUGGUGGUGUUGUUGUUGUUAUUAUUAUUUUGUUUCUGAUGUUCAAUUGCUUGCGUUGAUAA